GAUAAACGCUGGCGGCGUGCCUAACACAUGCAAGUCGAACGCCCUGGAGCAAUUCAGGGAGUGGCGGACGGGUGAGGAACACGUGGGUGAUCUGCCUUGAGGUGAGGAAUACCGGCGAGAAAUCGCCGACAAUACCGCAUAGGUUCGUAAGAACAAAGUCGCAAGACGCCUUGAGAUGAGCCUGCGUCCGAUUAGCCAGUUGGUGGGGUAAUGGCCUACCAAAGCAGCGAUCGGUAGCUGGUCUGAGAGGACGAUCAGCCACACUGGGAUUGAGAACGGCCCAGACUCCUACGGGGG
rnacentral:rRNA from 1 species